rnacentral:rRNA from 1 species
ACUCAAAGGAAUUGACGGGGGCCCGCACAAGCAGCGGAGCGUGCGGUUCAAUUCGAUGGUACGCGAAGAACCUUACCCAGACUUGACAUGCAAGUGGUAGGAAGCCGAAAGGUGACCGACCCGCAAGGGAGCUUGCACAGGUGUUGCACGGCCGUCGUCAGCUCGUGUCGUGAGAUGUUGGGUUAAGUCCCGCAACGAGCGCAACCCUCGGGGUCUGUUGUAUCUCUCAGACUCCACUGCCGAGAGAAACUCGGAGGAAGGUGGGGACGAAGUCAGGUCCGCGUGGCCUUUAUGUCUGGGGCUACACGCACGCUACAAUCGCCGGUCACAGCGGGUCGCGACAGCGCAAGCUGAAGCUAAUCCCUUAAAACCGGCGUCAGUUCAGAUCGGAGGCUGCAACCCGCCUCCGUGAAGUCGGAGUUGCUAGUAACCGCGGGAAAGCACACCGCGGUGAAUAUGUUCCCGGGCCUUGUACACACCGCCCGU